UGCGAUUCGAGCGGAUGAUUGGAGCUUGCUCCCUGAUUCAGCGGCGGUACGGGUGUAGCUAAUGCCCUAUCGGAAUCUGCGCUGGUAGUGGGGGACAACGUUUUCGAAAGGAACGCUAAUACCGCAUACGUCCUACGGGAGAAAGCAGGGGACCUUCGGGCCUUGCGCUAUCAGAUGAGCCUAGGUCGGAUUAGCUAGUUGGUGGGGUAAAGGCCUACCAAGGCGACGAUCCGUAACUGGUCUGAGAGGAUGAUCAGUCACACUGGAACUGAGACACGGUCCAGACUCCUACGGGAGGCAGCAGUGGGGAAUAUUGGACAAUGGGCGAAAGCCUGAUCCAGCCAUGCCGCGUGUGUGAAGAAGGUCUUCGGAUUGUAAAGCACUUUAAGUUGGGAGGAAGGGCAGUAAGUUAAUACCUGUUGCUGGUUUUGGACGUCUUACCACACACAGAAUUAAACGCACCGGUCUAAAAUUUCUUCGUGCCAAGCAAAGCCGGGCGGUUAAAUUGACGAAAGGGUGUCCAAGGCCGUUAAUUCGGAAAAUUACUUGGGGCGUUAAUAAAGCCGCGCGCGUAGGGUGGUUUUGGUUGUAAGAUGGAAUUGUGAAAUUCUCCCCGGGGCUUCCAACCUGGGGAACUGCAUUCCAUAACCUCGCCUGACUUAGAGUUACGGUAGAAGGGGUGGUGGAAAUUUCCCUGUGUAGGCGGUGAAAAUGCGUAGAUAUAAGGAAGGAAACCACCAGUGGGCGAAGGCGACCACCUGGAACUGAUACUGACACUGAGGUGCGAAAGCGUGGGGAGCAAAACAGGAUUAGAUACCCCUGGUAGUUCCACGCCGUAAAACGAUGUCGACUAGCCGUUGGGAUCCCUUGAGAUUUUAGUGGCGCAGCUAACGCGAUAAAGUCGACCCGCCUGGGGAAGUACCGGCCGCCAAGGUUUAAAAACUCAAAUGAAUUUGACGGGGGGCCCCCGCACCAAGGCGGUGGAAGCAUGUUGGGUUUAAAUUCCGAAGCAACCACGCGAAGAGAACCUUACCCUGGGGCCCUUUGACCAUGUUCCCGGAAAUAUCUUGCAAAAAGAGAUGCCAAGAGAGUGCCCUUUCCGGGAAUUCGGAACAACAGGUGCUUGCAUUGGCUGUCGUCAGCUCGUGUCGUGAGAUGUUGGGUUAAGUCCCGUAACGAGCGCAACCCUUGUCCUUAGUUACCAGCACGUUAAGGUGGGCACUCUAAGGAGACUGCCGGUGACAAACCGGAGGAAGGUGGGGAUGACGUCAAGUCAUCAUGGCCCUUACGGCCAGGGCUACACACGUGCUACAAUGGUCGGUACAGAGGGUUGCCAAGCCGCGAGGUGGAGCUAAUCCCAUAAAACCGAUCGUAGUCCGGAUCGCAGUCUGCAACUCGACUGCGUGAAGUCGGAAUCGCUAGUAAUCGUGAAUCAGAAUGUCACGGUGAAUACGUUCCCGGGCCUUGUACACACCGCCCGUCACAACCAUGGGAUGUGGGUUGCUCCAGAAGUAGCUAGUCUACCCCCAAGGGGGACGGUAUUUAUA
rnacentral:rRNA from 2 species